rnacentral:rRNA from 1 species
AUUGAACGCUGGCGGCAUGCUUUACACACGCAAGUCGAACGGUAACAGGGUGCUUGCACCGCUGACGAGUGGCGAACGGGUGAGUAAUGCGUCGGAACGUGCCGAGUAGUGGGGGAUAACGCAGCGAAAGUUGUGCUAAUACCGCAUACGUACUGAGGUAGAAAGUGGGGGACCUUCGGGCCUCACGCUAUUCGAGCGGCCGACGUCUGAUUAGCUAGUAGGUGAGGUAAAGGCUCACCUAGGCGACGAUCAGUAGCGGGUCUGAGAGGAAGAUUCGCCACGCUGGGACUGAGACACGGCCCAGAAUACUACGGGAGGCAGCAGUGGGGAAAUUUGGACAAUGGGAGCAAGCCUGAUCCAGCCAUGCCGCGUGUCUGAAGAAGGCCUUCGGGUUGUAAAGGACUUUUGUCAGGGAGGAAAUCCCCAGUGCUAAUAACACUGGGGGAUGACAGUACCUGAAGAAUAAGCACCGGCUAACUACGUGCCAGCCGCCGCCGUAA